rnacentral:pre_miRNA from 1 species
CGGUGGAGCGCAAGAUCCUGGGCUGUGUCCCCUGGCACCGUGGGAUCCGGGGCCUGUGCUGCUGGCAUUGUGCUCCUGGGGCCACGCAACCCCCU